rnacentral:rRNA from 1 species
GACGAACGCUGGCGGCGUGCUUAACACAUGCAAGUCGAACGGAAAGGCCUGCUUUCCCUUGUGGAUUGCGGGUACUCGAGUGGCGAACGGGUGAGUAACACGUGAGUGAUCUGCCCCCAACUUGGGUAUAAGCCUGGGAAACUGGGUCUAAUUCCCGAUAGGACUGCAGGGUGGUGCCUGUGGUGGAAAACGAUUUUCUAGUGGUUGGGGAUGAGCUCGCGGCCUAUCAGCUUGUUGGUGGGGUAAUCGCCUACCAAGGCGGCGACGGGUAGCCGGCCUGAGAGGGUGGACGGCCACAUUGGGACUGAGAUACGGCCCAGACUCCUACGGGAGGCAGCAGUGGGGAAUAUUGCACAAUGGGCGGAAGCCUGAUGCAGCGACGCCGCGUGGGGGAUGACGGCCUUCGGGUUGUAAACUCCUUUCGACCGCGAGGAAGCCACCUGGUUGGAAGGGUGGUGACGGUAGUGGUAGAAGAAGCACCGGCUAACUACGUG